GGCUGUUGAUGGAAAAUUAUAUUUGCUACUCUUGAUGGGAAGUUCAAUUCUCAUUUGAUGAUUCAUUAUCCACCAAGAUCUCUGAGGCC
rnacentral:snoRNA from 1 species